UUCUCCUUCAUCCGAGGCCCAGCUGUUCGCCCCUUUCUCUCCUUCCCCUUCACUUUUCUCCUUUGCAGCGAGACCUCAGUCAGUCACUCUGAGCAUGGCCUCUCUCAGGCCUUGCCAUCCUCUUACAGCGUGGCGCCUUGGACAGCCAGUGCCCGCCUUCUCCAGGACUCACAGUGCUGCUGCAGGAAGUCAGGCUGGCAGAGGGGGACCGCGAGUAGCCCAGCCUUUGAUCUCAGCCGGAAGGUUGUGGUUCUCAGUUGUCCCGUCACCGCCAUCUUCUGGGCCUUAUGACAUGAGCAGCGUUGUGUGGAUGGAGAAGAGGAGGCAGGGCGCAGGAAGAGACUUAAACCCUGCUCCUGCCCAGGCCAUCUGGGCGCCAUCGCUGGGGCGGGCACGUCUGCUCGGUGAAGAGGGUCAGGGUUGCUUAGGGUGGGUGUGGCUGCCUCGUUACAGCUGAUACAUUUGUUCUAGGUUUGUCUUUUCAUUGAGUUUUUGUGUGAUGGUGAUUAAAUUUAGAAUAAAAGCACUUAAUUUCACAA